CUGGUUGAUCCUACCAGUAAUAUACGCUUGUCUCAAAGGUUAAGCCAUGCAUGUCUAAGUACAAACAUAAAUGAAUGUGAAACCGCAUAAGGCUCAGUAUAACAGCUAUAAUUCACAAGAUCAUCCUACCACUAGUUACUUGGAUAACUGUGGAAAAUCCAGAGCUAAUACAUGCAACAUGCCGGGACUGUUGCCCUCGCGGGUAGCUGAACUGGUGCACUUAUUAGUUAAACCAAUCGCCUCCGGGCGGCUUGAGUUGAAGUCUGGAUAAGGACGCAGAUCGUAUGGUCGCUUGUCGACUGACGACAGAUCUUUCAAAUGUCUGCCCUAAUCAACUAUUGAUGGUAGUGUAGAGGACUACCAUGGUUGCGACGGGUAACGGGGAAUCAGGGUUCGAUUCCGGAGAGGGAGCCUGAGAAAUGGCUACCACAUCCAAGGAAGGCAGCAGGCGCGUAAAUUACCCAAUCCCAGUACGGGGAGGUAGUGACGAGAAAUAACAAUAUGGACCUCUCUAACGAUGGUCCAUAAUUGGAAUGAGUUGAGUAUAAAUCCUUCAACAAGGAUCAAGUGGAGGGCAAGUCUGGUGCCAGCAGCCGCGGUAAUUCCAGCUCCACUAGCGUAUAUU
rnacentral:rRNA from 1 species